AACGCACAUUGCGCCUUUUGGUAUUCCGAAAGGCAUGCCUGUUCGAACGUCAUUAAACUCUCAAGCCUUGCUUGGUUUUGAUAAUUAUGAUUUCAUAUUAUCGCAACUCGUUGGUUUGUCAACUUGAUUCAAACGUAGCAAUGUUUCGUUUAGAUGAGGGUUGUCAUCCAGAUGAACUAAUUCAAUCAAAACUUGACUUCGGACAGGUAAGGAUACCCGCUGAACUUAA
rnacentral:misc_RNA from 1 species